AUACUUCUGGCAGGGGCGAUACCAUAAUCACAAAGGUGGUUUUUCCAGGGCAAGGCUCACCCAUUGCAUCCAGGUGUGCUGACCCCUGCGAUUUCCCCAAAUGUGGGAAACUCGACUGCAUAAUUUGUGGUAGUGAGGACUGAGUGCAUGCUAUCCCCU